rnacentral:rRNA from 1 species
UUUAAUUGAAGAGUUUGAUCAUGGCUCAGAUUGAACGCUGGCGGCAGGCCUAACACAUGCAAGUCGAGCGGAAACAGGAAAGUAGCUUGCUACUUUCGCUGUCG